rnacentral:rRNA from 1 species
UACGUAGGUCCCGAGCGUUGUCCGGAUUUAUUGGGCGUAAAGCGAGCGCAGGUGGUUUAUUAAGUCUGGUGUAAAAGGCAGUGGCUCAACCAUUGUAUGCAUUGGAAACUGGUAGACUUGAGUGCAGGAGAGGAGAGUGGAAUUCCAUGUGUAGCGGUGAAAUGCGUAGAUAUAUGGAGGAACACCGGUGGCGAAGGCAGCGCACCGGCGCCCUACUGACGCUCAGGCACGAAAGCGUGGGUAUCGAACAGG